AAGGGAGACCUAAUUCAGGUAGGAGACGAAAAAAAAGUAGUCGCUACCAAGAAUCAAUCCCAAAAGGUCGGAGCGAGGCGAAAUUGGCUUUCAAACUAGGUUCUGGGUUCACACAAGACCUGAAUCAGGAACAAGGGCUAUUAGCUCAGGUGGUUAGAGCGCACCCCUGAUAAGGGUGAGGUCCCUGGUUCGAGUCCAGGAUGGCCCACCUGUACAGGUGGCAAAAAGAAAGAAAAGAAGCGAGGAAUCAGCACCUUAUCUUACUGACAUAGUAAGAGAGAAUGCUGGCNCUGAGUAAAGAGUCCAGAGGAACCUUGAAAACUGCAUAGAGCUAGGUGAAAAAGCCAAAAAAGAAGACCGCAA
rnacentral:tRNA from 1 species